UAAGGAACUCGGCAAAAUGACCUCGUAACUUCGGGAGAAGAGGUACUCCUUUUGAGGAGUGACACAAAAUCGGGGGUAACGACUGUUUAAUAAAAACACAUGACUCUGCUAAAUCGUAAGAUGAUGUAUAGGGUCUGACACCUGCCCGGUGCCAGAAGGUUAAGAGGAGAAGUGUCUGCUUCGAAUUGAAUCCCUGGUAAACGGCGGCCGUAACUCUGACGGUCCUAAGGUAGCGAAAUUCCUUGUCGAUUAACUGUCGACGUGCAUGAAUGGUGUAACGAUUUCCCCACUGUCUCAAACUUGGUCUCAGUGAAAUUGAACUGUCCGUGAAGAUGCGGACUAUCUACGGCUAGACGGAAAGACCCCGUGCACCUUUACUACAUCUUUUCAUUGUAUGUCGGACUACGUCAUGCAGGAUAAGUGGGAGUCUAUGAAACCUUGGCGCAAGCCAAUUGUUGAGACGUCCUUGAGAUACCACUUUUCUUAGAUCCGGAUACUAACCUCUUAUUUUAAAGAAUAGGGGGAACAGUGAAUGGUUGGUAGUUUGGCUGGGGUGGCCGCCUCCCAAAGAGUAACGGAGGCGCACAAAGGUAAGCUCAAGCUGGAAACAAAUCAGCUGUAGAGCGCAAUAGCAUAUGCUUGCCUGACUGUAAGACAGACAUGUCGAGCAGGGACGCAAGUCGGUUAUAGUGAUCCGGUGGUCCAUUAUGGAAUGGCCAUCGCUCAACGGAUAAAAGGUACGCCGGGGAUAACAGGCUAAUGACUCUUAAGAGCUCAUAUCGAUGGAGUUGUUUGGCACCUCGAUGUCGACUCAUCACAUCCUGGGGCUGGAGAAGGUCCCAAGGGUUCGUCUGUUCGCCGAAUAAAGUGGUACGUGAGUUGGGUUUAGAACGUCGUGAGACAGUUUGGUCCCUAUCUACCGUAGAUAAUAGAAAAAUGAGAGGACCUCAAGCUAGUACGAGAGGACCGAAUAGGGUUGACCUCUGGUGUAUCGGUUGUUUUGAAAGAAGCACUGCCGAGUAGCUACGUCGAUUAAGAAUAACUGCUGAAAGCAUAUAAGCAGGAAGUUGACCUCAAGAUUUUUUCUCAAAAGCGUAAAAGAAUAUUACGUGGAUAGGCAUGAUUUGUAAGUAUGGUGACAUAUUUAGAUAACAUGUACUAAAACUUUAAAUUAAAUUACAGG
rnacentral:rRNA from 1 species